GAUGAAGAACGUAGCGAAAUGCGAUAAGUAGUGUGAAUUGCAGAAUUCAGUGAAUCAUCGAAUCUUUGAACGCACAUUGCGCCCCUUGGUAUUCCAUGGGGCAUGCCUGUUCGAGCGUCAUUUGUACCUUCAAGCUCUGCUUGGUGUUGGGUGUUUGUCUCGCCUCUGCGUGUAGACUCGCCUCAAAACAAUUGGCAGCCGGCGUAUUGAUUUCGGAGCGCAGUACAUCUCGCGCUUUGNNNNCAUAACGACGACGUCCAAAAGUACAUUUUUACACUCUUGACCUCGGAUCAGGUAGGGAUACCCGCUGAACUUAAGCAUAUCAAUAAGCGGAGGA
rnacentral:misc_RNA from 1 species